AACGAACGCUGGCGGCAUGCCUAACACAUGCAAGUCGAACGAGACCUUCGGGUCUAGUGGCGCACGGUUUCGUCACGCGUGGGAACCUUCCCUUAUGUUCGGAAUAACUCUCCGACAGGGGUGCCAAUACCGGAUCAUGUCUUCGGACCAAGGAUUUAUCGCCUUUGGAUGGGCCCGCGUUGGAUUAGCUAGUUGUUAGGGUAAAAGCCUACCACGGCGACGAUCCAUAGCUGGUUUGGGAGGAUGAUCAGCGACACUGGGACUGAGACCCGGCCGGGACUCCUACGGGAGGGAGGAGUGGGGAAUAUUGGAAAGUGGGCGGAAGGCUGAUCCAGCAAUGCCGGGUGAGUGAUGAAGGCAUUGGGGUAGUAAAGCGCUUUUACCCGGGAUGAUCAUGACAGUACCGGGAGAAUAAGCUCCGGCUAACUCCGUG
rnacentral:rRNA from 1 species